GGGUCAUUAGCUCAAUUGGUAGAGCAGCUGACUCUUAAUCAGUUGGUUCUGAGUUCAAGUCUCGGAUGGCCCACCA
rnacentral:tRNA from 1 species